rnacentral:rRNA from 1 species
UACGGGGGGGGGCAAGCGUUGUUCGGACUUACUGGGCGUAAAGGGCUCGUAGGCGGCCAACUAAGUCAGACGUGAAAUCCCUCAGCUUAACUGGGGAACUGCGUCUGAUACUGGAUGGCUUGGAUUCGGGAGAGGAAUGCGGAAUUCCAGGUGUAGCGGUGAAAUGCGUAGAUAUCUGGAGGAACACCGGUGGCGAAGGCGGCAUUCUGGACCGAUAUUGACGCUGAGGAGCGAAAGCCAGGGGAGCAAACGGG